UCUCCGUUGGUGAACCAGCGGAGGGAUCAUUACAGGACUCGCAAGACUCCUUCACCCUGUGAACCUCACUACAAGCACGUUGCUUCGGCGGGUGUCCCGGCAGGGGUUUUCCCUCGCCGGGGCGCACAGCCCGCCGGCAGCCUACUAUACUCUGUCUCUUUGCGUUGGCAUCUCGAGAAAAGACAAACAAGUUAAAACUUUCAACAACGGAUCUCUUGGUUCUG
rnacentral:misc_RNA from 1 species